GACAGAGGAUGCAAGCGUUAUUCGGAAUGAUUGGGCGUAAGCGUCUGUAGGCGGCUUUUAAGUCCGCCGUCAAAUCCCAGGGCUCAACCCUGGACAGGCGGUGGAAACUACCAAGCUGGAGUACGGUAGGGCAGAGGGAAUUUCCGGUGGAGCGGUGAAAUGCGUAGAGAUCGGAAAGAACACCAACGGCGAAAGCACUCUGCUGGGCCGACACUGACACUGAGAGACGAAAGCUAGGGGAGCGAAUGGG
rnacentral:rRNA from 1 species